rnacentral:lncRNA from 1 species
GAUAUUUAGGUUCAGAAGAAAAGACUCAAGUGUCCCUCAAUAAUUAAGGAAUGGAUGGGGUUGAGAGUGUACUUUGGGGUAAAGUGAGAAGAGUUUUGAAUGAAAAGUUAUGGAUGAGACAAGCACUAUUGUGAAUAGUGUUAGAAAUGCUUAUAUUGUGGUAUAAAAUUUCAAUCUUAAAAAUUAUUAUAUUUUGGAAUAGCGGGAGUAAUUUGCAAUUUAAAUUGUUUUUAUCUUGUUUCUUGACUUAUUGUAGGAAUAUGAUUGUUCUAUGCCGGCAAGAUCAACAAUCCUAGAUGUAUUAAUUAUUAAGGCGUAACACAACACCAUCCCAUAUAGUUAUAGUUGGGUUAUCCACUUCUCUCUUAAACUGUGGUUUCUUUGACUUACCGAAAGAUAAGACCAUAUAUCAUGCGGUGUUGGCAACAAUAUUAUCGUGGACAUGGACUAUUUCUGAAGUAUGUUCAUGAAGACCAUACUACUGCAGUGUUCAGAUCAGAACAAGAGAAACCGGAACAAUUUUCACCAUUUGAACACAGUCAUAUCGAAAGCAAUUUUGAUUGUGAUUGACUCUGUUCCUCUGAAGCUUUUGUGCGAUUACUCAAAUAUCUUCUUCUGAACUGUUUAUUUUGUACAAAAAAAUUUCUAUGCAGAG